UACGUAGGCAGCAAGCGUUGUUCGGAAUUACUGGGCGUAAAGAGUGUGUAGGCGGUGCUCUAAGUCUGUUGUGAAAUCUCCCGGCUUAACUGGGAGGGUGCGGCGGAGACUGGAGUGCUAGAGUGUGGGAGAGGUAAGCGGGAAUUCCUGGUGUAGCGGUGAAAUGCGUAGAUAUCAGGAGGAACACCUGUGGUGUAGACAGCUUCUGGACCAGCUGACGCUGAGACACGAAAAGCGUGGGUAGCAAACAG
rnacentral:rRNA from 1 species